rnacentral:rRNA from 1 species
UGGGGAAUUUUGGACAAUGGGCGAAAGCCUGAUCCAGCAAUGCCGCGUGUGUGAAGAAGGCCUUCGGGUUGUAAAGCACUUUUGUCCGGAAAGAAAUCCUUGGCUCUAAUACAGUCGGGGGAUGACGGUACCGGAAGAAUAAGCACCGGCUAACUACGUGCCAGCAGCCGCGGUAAUACGUAGGGUGCAAGCGUUAAUCGGAAUUACUGGGCGUAAAGCGUGCGCAGGCGGUUUGCUAAGACCGAUGUGAAAUCCCCGGGCUCAACCUGGGAACUGCAUUGGUGACUGGCAGGCUAGAGUAUGGCAGAGGGGGGUAGAAUUCCACGUGUAGCAGUGAAAUGCGUAGAGAUGUGGAGGAAUACCGAUGGCGAAGGCAGCCCCCUGGGCCAAUACUGACGCUCAUGCACGAAAGCGUGGAGAGCAAACAGGAUUAGAUACCCUGGUAGUCCACGCCCUAAACGAUGUCAACUAGUUGUUGGGGCAUUCAUUUUCCUUAGUAACGUAGCUAACGCGUGAAGUUGACCGCCUGGGGAGUACGGUCGCAAGAUUAAAACCUCAAAGGAAUUGACGGGGUCAUAGCUGUUU